UUACACAAUAUGAAGGCGGGCUGGACACCCUCCAGCCGGGCACUGCUUCACGGCGUGCGCGGCUGGAGCCGGCCCUGCUGAAUUAUUCACCCGUGUCUUUUGCGUACUUCUUGUUUCCUGGGUGGGCUCGCCCGCCAUCAGGACCAACCAUAAACCUUUUUGUAAUAGCAAUCAGCGUCAGUAACAACGUAAUUAAUUACAACUUUCAACAACGGAUCUCUUGGUUCUGGCAUCGAUGAAGAACGCAGCGAAAUGCGAUACGUAGUGUGAAUUGCAGAAUUCAGUGAAUCAUCGAAUCUUUGAACGCACAUUGCGCCCUUUGGUAUUCCAAAGGGCAUGCCUGUUCGAGCGUCAUUUGUACCCUCAAGCUUUGCUUGGUGUUGGGCGUCUUUUGUCUCCAGCUCGCUGGAGACUCGCCUUAAAGUCAUUGGCAGCCGGCCUACUGGUUUCGGAGCGCAGCACAAGUCGCGCUCUUGCCCAGCCAAGGUCAGCGUCCAGCAAGCCUUUUUUCAACCUUUGACCUCGGAUCAGGUAGGGAUACCCGCUGAACUUAAGCAUAUCAAUAA
rnacentral:misc_RNA from 1 species